rnacentral:rRNA from 1 species
UACGUAGGGGGCAAGCGUUGUUCGGAAUGACUGGGCGUAAAGGGUGCGUAGGCGGUAGUACAAGUUAGAAGUGAAAUACCCAGGGCUUAACUCGGGUGCUGCUUCUAAAACUGUACGACUUGAGUGCAGUAGAGGUUAGUGGAAUUCCUAGUGUAGCGGUGAAAUGCGUAGAUAUCAGGAGGAACAUCGGUGGCGAAAGCGCUUUACUGGACCAUUAUUGACGCUGAGGAACGAAAGCCAGGGGAGCAAAUGGG